GUAGAGUCCAGUGUGUGGGUAGAAUCCAGUGUGUUGAUAGAGUCCAGUGCGUGGAUAGAGUCCAGUGUGUGGAUAGAGUCCAGUGUGUGGAUAGAGUCCAGUGUGUGGGUAGAGUCCAGUGUGUGGGUAGAGUCCAGUGUGUGGGUAGAGUCCAGUGUGUGGGUAGAGUCCAGUGUGUGGGUAGAGUCCAGUGUGUGGAUAGAGUCCAGUGUGUGGAUAGAGUCCCAUGUGUGGGUAGAGUCCAGUGUGUGGGUAGAGUCCAGUGUGUGGGUAGAGUCCAGUGUGUGGAUAGAGUCCAGUGUGUGGAUAGAGUCCAGUGUGUGGGUAGAGUCCAGUGUGUGGAUAGAGUCCAGUGUGUGGGUAGAGUCCAGUGUGUGGGUAGAGUCCAGUGUAUGGAUAGAGUCCCGUGUGUGGAUAGAGUCCCGUGUGUGGGUAGAGUCCAG
ensembl:lncRNA